rnacentral:lncRNA from 1 species
CCCUGACAGUCCUGAGCUCUCUAACCAUUCUGUGCUCGCUCUGGGCAACCUCAUCUAAGCUGUAGCUUUAAUAACUUUCAAUAACAGCUGACUUUCAAGUUUGUACCUUUGCCCUAGUUCUCUCAGCUCCAAACCUGUACAUCCGAUAUGCUUACCUGACAACUCCUCUUAGGUGUUUUUGAGAUGAUAAUUUCCCAAGAUCAUUUAGCUUGUUGGAAAAAGAGCUGAGAUUUGAACUUGGGACUGCCCGAUUUCAGAACUGGAGCUAAAAGCCUGCAACAUUAAUAGGAGGUGGUUUUGGAGGUGCCCCAGCUUAGGGGGCUGGAGCCUACAGGGUAGCCCCCUUCUCUGUCAUGUGGUAGGGGCGCCCUCUCUGGGGAGGAGGAGGCUGGAGACACAGACCUCACUGUUUCUCUGGCUGAGCUACAGACAAGAGCGUGUGCUGCCGGCUGUCCUGUCUAUGGGUCCACGCUUCUCUGCAGGAAGAAUGAAGUCUCAAGCCCCAUCGGGCCCUGACUGGUCUCACAAGGUUAGCAGCAAAUUUUGACCUGUGCAGGUGCUUAUUUCUUCCUCUCUGGUCUCUCUUUCUUCUCUUUCUGCCUUCCCAGUCCCAAGCCAGGGACUGUUCAAUCAGUUGGUGAUCAGAUGAAAACAAAUAACUCAGAGGUGAAGAUAGCCAAUAGCCAUAACCUCAUUCAAUACCUGUGGAAAAAGUGAGUUUCUGCUUGGUGGGAAGUAAGUGAGAAAUAUUCUUAAGCAUAGGGAGCUCUGAUUCCAGCCAAAUCUAACUACUUGCCUGGUUCUUCCUUCUUUUCUCUGGCAGGGAGCCAUCAUUUCUGCAAUCCCUGUGUUAGCAAAGACCAUCUCAGUGGGGGCUUUAUUGACUUUAUUGGGAGGGCUGGUGAAGGAGGGGUCAGGUUGCUUGGCCUUAAUGUUGACGUAGAAACCAGGGAAAAUGCAUUUUGCUAAACUGGUAUUUCCUAACUUGUAAACAUUCUUAA